GACGUAGGGCGCGAGCGUUGUCCGGAUUUAUUGGGCGUAAAGAGCUCGUAGGCGGCUUGUCGCGUCGACUGUGAAAACCCGCGGCUCAACUGUGGGCUUGCAGUCGAUACGGGCAGGCUGGAGUUCGGUAGGGGAGACUGGAAUUCCUGGUGUAGCGGUGAAAUGCGCAGAUAUCAGGAGGAACACCAAAGGCGAAGGCAGUGUCCUGGGGAGUACCUGACGCUCAGGUGCGAAAGCCAGGGGAGCGAACGGG
rnacentral:rRNA from 1 species